GUUUUUCCCUAACAGCAAAAAAUGCAAUGAACUGACAGUGUAAUCUUUUCACAAAUGCUAUUUCACAAUAACCAGACAGCAGAUGGGAUAAAUCUAUCAUUCAUGUGUGUGAAAAGCGGUGACCACACAAAUGGGGAUUGAUAUUCUCCAAGUCAUAACUUUCUCCCUGUUGCAGUUGUUUGCUCCCUCUUCAUUUGCCUUAGACUUAAUUCACGAAUUCCCGACGAAUGAAGAGGUGGUGAUUCAAUAGGAAUGUAGCGUACAGACAUCUUAGC
rnacentral:misc_RNA from 1 species